CGAACGCUGGCGGCGUGCCUAACACAUGCAAGUCGAACGAGAAAGCGGGCUUCGGCCCGUGAGUAAAGUGGCAGACGGGUGAGUAACACGUGGGUAACCUGCCCGGAGGUGGGGGAUAACCCUUCGAAAGGAGGGCUAAUACCGCAUGAUAUCUCGGACUUCUCGGAGACCGAGAUCAAAGCUAGCCUCUGUUUCAUGCUAGUGCCACCGGAGGGGCCCGCGUCCCAUUAGCUUGUUGGUGAGGUAACGGCUCACCAAGGCCCCGAUGGGUAGCCGGCCUGAGAGGGUGAUCGGCCACACUGGAACUGAGACACGGUCCAGACUCCUACGGGAGGCAGCAGUGAGGAAUUUUGCGCAAUGGGCGAAAGCCUGACGCAGCGACGCCGCGUGGAGGACGAAGGUCUUCGGAUCGUAAACUCCUGUCAAGCGGGACGAAUCCUGCGGGGAUGAAUAAGCCUCGCAGUUGACGGUACCGCUGGAGGAAGCCCCGGCUAACUCC
rnacentral:rRNA from 1 species